CCUCUCUCCACCCACCACUAACUAAACUUUUAAACUAGGAGGAGGUGAACAGCUUAAACCUUUUCUCAGUGCAACGGAAAAGUGAAUCCAGGGUGCGGUGAGUUGCCAAGAACCAGCUGCUGCUCUAGACAAUUACAGGAGUUUUGUGGAUAUGCUACUCAGAGUUCAACAAAAUGGACUAUUGCUCAGUGCAGAAACUUGUUUUCAGGCUGACAGGCAAAUAAGCCGUAUCACAUAAAGGGCCUCUAUGUGGCAUCUCUGAGCUGUAAGCUCCGGACAGCCUUGGGGGAAAAAAGUGCAGUGGAGCAAGACAAAAAUUACCACAAACUUCAGACAACAAUUGCUUUUUUUCUGAUGGGUUUCUGGGACUUCUACAUGCCAAGCCGUAACUCCACAGAGAUGUUAUGAAAAAUAAAUGAAAAAAACAGAUGAAGAAUUUGAUCAUAGAAGAACUAUAUAAGGAAAACCAGCAAAGAAACAUGGAAUAUUGAGAUGAAUAACAGAAUUAAAUAGUUGCACAGGGAAAG